CAGGAGAACCCACAUCCUUGACACCAGACCCUCACACGGGUCCUCAGCAUCCAGACGGGAAGGCACCUGGGAAACUUCCUUGGGCCUGGAUACCCAGUGAUCUGGGUCUCCUGUCCUGAUGCAGUCGUUAACACACUGACCACCUGAUUUUCCCACCAUUCUCUACCAAUCUCUCCCUCCCGAUCAUCUCUUCUACCAGCCUAGCUGGAUUCCUCUCAGGACAGGCAUAUUGACACCAUUCCUUUAGCCUUCCCCUCAGGGCUUCGGCCUUGAACCCUAUUCUGUUACACAAUUACUAUUAGACCUCUCUACUCAAGUCUCGCCCCUGAUCCCCAGGCCAGGCGGAAGGCCCCCGGCCGUCCAACAAUUCCGCCCACUAGUGGCCCCACCCGCUUUCGCAGCGCGCCCCGCCCUCAGCCGAUCCUUCCUAGCUUCCGUCCACCCACGUGGUCCCCUCUACGCUGGACUUUCUCCCGGGAUUUGCGGCUCGGUCGGUGACACUGACACUUCCUAUAGCUGCAGACUCAGCUGCGGCAGCAGGACGGGGCGGUCACUGGCUGAGGGGCGUGGGCCCCGCCUCUUCGCGUCGCUCUUCUGUCUGCGGCUGCGCGGUGACCACAGAGAUAACGUCCCCGGGCUCCCGAGGGAAGUCGUGUGUUCCGGUGCCUCUACAGGUCAGAGCAGAACCAACCACACCCCCACUAGCAGAAUUAGAUUGGCCAGAGUCUCGGAAGCGGAAUCUGCAUUCUGCGCUCCUCUGACAAAGGAUGAGUCGUGAAGCCCAGACCACCGCACACAAUGGUUUUGGGAAGAACAUUCAAGUCACUCCGACAUUUCACUUUUGGGAAGUGGGCGUGGACGCAGGGGAAGACUUCUACAGUAUCACUUAUUUUAUUUUUAUAUUUUAACUGUGAUCUUCUAUUGUUUUUAUAAAUUAAAACAAAACAAAACAAAACCAGAAUGGAACCCUGCACUUCUCCCGGUUUUUUGUUUACCUCAUAACAUUUUUUUGGUAAUAACACGGACACAUUCAGAAGUGGCUCAUUAACGAUCGCGUGGCUACCAUCUCAGAAGCCUCCAUCCUUGCAGUUUUGUUGCCUGAUGUUUCCACCUUUGAAACAAAUGUUCCAGGUGGAGGUAUAGGGCCUUGACAAAACAAGCUUGAUUGCACACUAUAUGGAGACCUCCCCGCCUCCCCGCCCCUCACCAAUCAUAAAAACCCAUUUCUUAAAAAAUAGUAAAUCCUAGAAAAAUGUAUAGAAAAAAAUCCCCUCGCAAGCCCCAAACUCAGAGAUAACCAUCAAUAUUUGGUGAACUAAUCUCCAGUUUGAUUUUCUGUUUUUUACCUGCACCAGUGGAGAAGGAGGUGGCAGAGGAUGAGAUGGUUGGAUGGCAUCACUGACUCANNNNNNNNNNNNNNNNNNNNNNNNNNNNNNNNNNNNNNNNNNNNNNNNNNNNNNNNNNNNNNNNNNNNNNNNNNNNNNNNNNNNNNNNNNNNNNNNNNNAGAAGGAGGUGGCAGAGGAUGAGAUGGUUGGAUGGCAUCACUGACUCAACUGACCUGCGCUUAACCAAACUCCAGGAGAUAGUGUAGGACAGGGAAGCCUGGCAUGCUGCAGUCCAUGGGGUCUCAAAGAGUCCAACAGGAUUUAGAGACUGAACAACAUCAGUGAGGCUAUGUUGUGAUCAUGCUACAGAUACAGAUUUGAAUUAAGCUUUUUUUAAAAAAAAUUAUCUAUCUCCAUGCCAGUGCAUAACUUAUGACAAGCUUAAUUAGAGGAGGAGACAGAGGGAAACUUCAGAUACUGAGGUAGAUUUCUGGGCAGGUAUAAAAUUUUUAAGCGUGGACAGACAUGAGUGUUCACGAAGUCUCUUUUAGGUGUAGGGCUUUCCUUUCACUUGACAAUUUUCACUUAACAGUUCUUACAUUAUGAAGUUGAAAUAGUCUUUUACCUGUAAAGUAAAUGAAAAAUAGAGAGUGAGAGAAACAAACAAUUUCUCUAGAGUAUAAAGAUGUUAGAAAUAGUUUGUUUUCCUUUCACAAACAUCUUAAUGUAUAAAAUUUGAAACUUCAUUAAGGAAGUCUUAAUUCUGACUUAAAAAUUGUCAAGACAACCAAUUUUCUUGAUUUAUAGAUCACAGUAGCUUUCUAAACGUUUAGGAUACAAGUGCAAGCAAAAUCUCAGAUACUCUUGGAAAUGCAUUUUUGGAUACAGCACACAUGAUAUAUAUGUCUUCGGGAGCUUGAUUAUCCUUUUGUAAUAUUGAAGAAUACUCAGUUUAUUACAAAUUUAGCCUUUGAUAACCACAACUUGGAUAGAGCACAAAGUGGAAUCUUCAAAGGUUUCUCAAUAUACCUCCGUCUGGGGAAUUCCCUGGUGGCCUAGCAGGGCUGCGCUCAUCUCGUACGCAAGCAAAAUAAUGCUCAAAAUUCUCCAAGCCAGUCUUCAACAGUAUGUGAA
ensembl:lncRNA